CAAACCCUGUUUUCGGGUGGAAUGUGUGGUAUUUUGCUAAAUUAAGACUAGGUCAUUUAUGUAGUGAAGGCGCUUUGUGAAGUGGGCCUUAUUUCUCUUGUCCUUUCGUACAGGGAGAAAUGUGCAAUAGAUAGAAACCGACCUGGAUUGCUCCGGUCUGAACUCAGAUCACGUAGGACUUUAAUCGUUGAACAAACGAACCCUUGAUAGCUGCUGCACCAUUAGGAUGUCCUGAUCCAACAUCGAGGUCGUAAGCUCUAUUGUCGAUAUGGACUCUAGAAUAGAAUUGCGCUGUUAUCCCUAGGGUAACUUGUUCCGUUGAUCAAGUUAUUGGAUCAAUUAUAAGUGUUAGUUCGCUUUGACUUGUGUGGUCUUAGCAUGUGUUAUUCGGAGGUUUUGUUGUGCUCCGAGGUCGCCCCAACCAAAAUUUUUAAUGCAGGUGUCGAUAGUUUAAAGGUCCGUGGGUUUGUGUAAUUUUUGAUUGCAUUAAUAGAUUAAAGCUCCAUAGGGUCUUCUCGUCUUAUUAUACUAUGUCCGCCUCUUCGCGGGCAGGUCAAUUUCACUGGUUAAAAGUAAGAGACAGUUAAACCCUCGUGGUGCCUUUCAUGCGAGUCCCCAUUUAAAGAACAAGUGAUUAUGCUACCUUUGCACGGUCAGGGUACCGCGGCCGUUAAACGUGUGUCACUGGGCAGGCAGUGCCUCUAAUACUAGUAAUGCUAGAGGUGAUGUUUUUGGUAAACAGGCGGGGUUUAGGUUUGCCGAGUUCCUUUUACUUUUUUUAACCUUUCCUUGAGGCAUGCCUGUGUUGGGUUAACAGUGAAGGUAGCAUGGGCUUGUUUGUGCUUGCUAUGCCUGGCUGUUAGGUAUCGGUGAGGUUUUCGAUCCGAUUUGGGCUUAUGCAGUGGAGAAAAUAUUCAUGUUACUUAUACUAGCAUUAUUGCUUCUAUAUGGUGAUAGAUUAAUCCAAUGUGGUGUGAGGAGUUCAGCUAUGUGUUUGGUAUUUUUGGGGUGGUUAGUGGUUCUAUAGGUAAGCUUAAGGUCGAACUAAGAUUCUGUCUUGGAUAACCAGCUAUCACCAGGCUCGGUAGGCUUGUCACCUCUACCCAGAAAUCUUCCCACUAUUUUGCCACAUAGAUGGGUGCGCUCUUUUAGCUGUUUUUGGGUAGCUCGUCUGGUUUCGGGGAAUUUGGCUUGUAGUUCUCUUUGUGAAAUUGUUUCUAGCUAAUUCAUUAUGCGAAAGGUACAGGGGUUAGUCCUUGCUGUUUUGUGCUUGGGUGGUUUCAUCUUUCCCUUACGGUACUGCGUCUAUAGCGCCAGAUUAAAAUUUCUAUCGCCUAUACUUUGUGUAGGUGAAUGGUUUAGUGCGUGUUAGUUUGGUAUUAGUGUUGGUUAUGCUUAGGGCUAGUAUUGGC
rnacentral:rRNA from 1 species